UCACAAGUGGCUCCAGUCUGGUUUGGGUGUCUACGCUUUCUCAUUCUGUCCUGCCACCCAAGUAAAGUUAUUCACAAGUGGCUCCAGUCUGGUUUGGGUGUCUAAGCUUUCUCAUCCUGUCCACACACACACACACACACACACACACACAAACACACACACACCAGUUACACUGCCUGGUGUUCAUUUUCAUGUAUCAUAGGUGUGCAGAUGUUGUAUGAAUUGAAAGUGAGUUGUAUGAAUUAAAAUGUUAAUAUUGUUUACUGUAUUUAAUAAAAAAGCUUUUAAAUGA